AGUGAGCGCUGGCGGCGUGCCUAACACAUGCAAGUCGAACGGGACUUAGGGGCUUGCUCCUAAGUUUAGUGGCGCACGGGUGAGUAACACGUAGCUAAUCUGCCCUAUGCUGGGGGACAACAGUUGGAAACGACUGCUAAUACCCCAUACUCCGGUAUUACAUAAGUGAUAUCGGGAAAGUUUUUCGGCGUAGGAUGAGGCUGCGGUCUAUCAGCUAGUUGGGGAGGUAACGGCUCACCAAGGCUAUGACGGAUAGCUGGUCUGAGAGGAUGAUCAGCCACACUGGAACUGAGACACGGUCCAGACUCCUACGGGAGGCAGCAGUGGGGAAUUUUACACAAUGGGCGCAAGCCUGAUGUAGCAACGCCGCGUGGAGGAUGAAGGAUUUAGGUCUGUAAACUCCUUUUAUAAGGGAAGAAAUUUGACGGUACCUUAUGAAUAAGCACCGGCUAACUCCGUGCCAGCCGCCGCAGUAA
rnacentral:rRNA from 1 species